GACGAACGCUGGCGGCGUGCUUAACACAUGCAAGUCGAACGGAAAGGCCCUGCUUUUGUGGGGUGCUCGAGUGGCGAACGGGUGAGUAACCCGUGAGUAACCUGCCCUUGACUUUGGGAUAACUUCAGGAAACUGGGGCUAAUACCGGAUAUGAGCUCCUGCUGCAUGGUGGGGGUUGGAAAGUUUCGGCGGUUGGGGAUGGACUCGCGGCUUAUCAGCUUGUUGGUGGGGUAGUGGCUUACCAAGGCUUUGACGGGUAGCCGGCCUGAGAGGGUGACCGGCCACAUUGGGACUGAGAGACGGCCCAGACUCCUACGGGAGGCAGCAGUGGGGAAUAUUGCACAAUGGGCGGAAGCCUGAUGCAGCAACGCCGCGUGCGGGAUGACGGCCUUCGGGUUGUAAACCGCUUUCGCCUGUGACGAAGCGUGAGUGACGGUAAUGGGUAAAGAAGCACCGGCUAACUACGUG
rnacentral:rRNA from 1 species